rnacentral:rRNA from 1 species
GAUGAACGCUGGCGGCGUGCCUAAUACAUGCAAGUCGAGCGAACUGAUUAGAAGCUUGCUUCUAUGACGUUAGCGGCGGACGGGUGAGUAACACGUGGGCAACCUGCCUGUAAGACUGGGAUAACUUCGGGAAACCGAAGCUAAUACCGGAUAGGAUCUUCUCCUUCAUGGGAGAUGAUUGAAAGAUGGUUUCGGCUAUCACUUACAGAUGGGCCCGCGGUGCAUUAGCUAGUGGGUGAGGAAACGGCUCACCAAGGCAACGAUGCAUAGCCGACCUGAGAGGGUGAUCGGCCACACUGGGACUGAGACACGGCCCAGACUCCUACGGGAGGCAGCAGUAGGGAAUCUUCCGCAAUGGACGAAAGUCUGACGGAGCAACGCCGCGUGAGUGAUGAAGGCUUUCGGGUCGUAAAACUCUGUUGUUAGGGAAGAACAAGUACGAGAGUAACUGCUCGUACCUUGACGGUACCUAACCAGAAAGCCACGGCUAACUACGUGCCAGCCGCCGCGGUAAUAC